rnacentral:rRNA from 1 species
ACGACGCUGGCGGCGUGCCUAAUACAUGCAAGUCGAACGGUCUUUCUAUGGAAGCUUGCUUCCACUGAGAAGAUAGUGGCGAACGGGUGAGUAACACGUGGGUAACCUGCCCAUAAGAGGGAGAUAACAUCCGGAAACGGGUGCUAAUACCGCAUAGUUUCUUGAUCGCAUGAUCGGGAAAGGAAAGACGGCCUUUGUGCUGUCGCUUAUGGAUGGACCCGCGGCGUAUUAGUUAGUUGGUGAGGUAACGGCUCACCAAGACGAUGAUACGUAGCCGACCUGAGAGGGUGAUCGGCCACAUUGGGACUGAGACACGGCCCAAACUCCUACGGGAGGCAGCAGUAGGGAAUCUUCCGCAAUGGACGAAAGUCUGACGGAGCAACGCCGCGUGAGUGAAGAAAGGUUUUCGGAUCGUAAAACUCUGUUGUCAGAGAAGAACAAGUUGGAGAGUAACUGCUCCAGCCUUGACGGUAUCUGACCAGAAAGCCACGGCUAACUACGUGCCAGCCGCUGC